rnacentral:misc_RNA from 1 species
CAGAGUGGAGGGCCCUCGGGCCCGUGCUCCCAUCCUGUUGCCGUCUAGAAUGUGUUCUUGCCCCCGCGCCCCUCUGAGCGGCCGGGCGGCGCCUCAGAUGACUCUUGGUUGACUUCUGUCUCUGACUCGUAUGAGAAAUCAAACGA